GUGGGGAAUUUUGGACAAUGGGCGCAAGCCUGAUCCAGCCAUUCCGCGUGCAGGAUGAAGGCCUUCGGGUUGUAAACUGCUUUUGUACGGAACGAAAAGCCUCUGGUUAAUACCCGGGGGUCAUGACGGUACCGUAAGAAUAAGCACCGGCUAACUACGUGCCAGCAGCCGCGGUAAUACGUAGGGUGCGAGCGUUAAUCGGAAUUACUGGGCGUAAAGCGUGCGCAGGCGGUGAUGUAAGAUAGUUGUGAAAUCCCCGGGCUCAACCUGGGAACUGCAUCUGUGACUGCAUUGCUGGAGUGCGGCAGAGGGGGAUGGAAUUCCGCGUGUAGCAGUGAAAUGCGUAGAUAUGCGGAGGAACACCGAUGGCGAAGGCAAUCCCCUGGGCCUGUACUGACGCUCAUGCACGAAAGCGUGGGGAGCAAACAGGAUUAGAAACCCCGGUAGUCC
rnacentral:rRNA from 1 species